rnacentral:rRNA from 1 species
AUUGAACGCUGGCGGCACGCUUAACACAUGCAAGUCGAACGGUAGCAGAAUCUAGCUUGCUAGAUUGCUGACGAGUGGCGGACGGGUGAGUAAUGCGUAGGAAUCUGCCUUAAGGUGAGGGAUAACCCGGGGAAACUCGGGCUAAUACCACUCAAGCUCUACGGAGAAAAGCUGGGGACCGCAAGGCCUAGCGCCUUAAGAUGAGCCUACGUCGGAUUAGCUAGUUGGUAGGGUAAAGGCCUACCAAGGCAACGAUCCGUAGCUGGUCUGAGAGGAUGAUCAGCCACACUGGGACUGAGACACGGCCCAGACUCCUACGGGAGGCAGCAGUGGGGAAUCUUGCGCAAUGGGCGAAAGCCUGACGCAGCAACGCCGCGUGGGUGAUGAAGGCCUUCGGGUCGUAAAGCCCUGUCAGGUGGGAAGAAACUCAUCGGUGCUAACAUCAUCGAUGCUUGACGGUACCACCGGAGGAAGCACCGGCUAACUCCGUGCCAGCAGCCGCCGUAACAC